rnacentral:rRNA from 1 species
GUUAGGUAAAUCCGGCUCUUUCUAAGGCUGAGACACGACGUCGAGCACCUACGGGUGUGAAGUCAUUGAUGCCAUGCUUCCAGGAAAAGCCUCUAAGCUUCAGAUUGUAAGGAAUCGUACCCCAAACGACACAGGUGGUCGGGUAGAGAAUACCAAGGCGCUUGAGAGAACUCGGGUGAAGGAACUAGGCAAAAUGGUACCGUAACUUCGGGAGAAGGUACGCUCU